GGCUCAGCCGAACGGCGAGGCCGAUGGCAGAACCGGUUAAUAUUCCGGUACUACCCUUUAGGGUGACGUGGAGACGCAGUCGUGACAAUGCCGCCAGCUGACGGAAUAGCUGGUUAAAGGGUGUAGAAGUUGAUUGUGGCAGGCAAAUCCACCACAAGAUUCGAACCUGACAGUAUGGAGCGUCCUUCCGGACAAUCCAACAGUGCAUGUAAUCAUACUGCCAAGAAAAUCCGCUAAACAUAACCUUCAGGGUACCCGUACCGCAAACGGACACACGUAGUCGGGUUGAAUAUACUAAGGCGCUUGAGUGAUUCACGGUUAAGGAACUAGGCAAAUUAACCCUGUAACUUCGGGAAAAAGGGUCCCUACCCGUUAGCGGGAGGGCGCAGAGAAUCGGUCCAGGCAACUGUUUAACAAAAACACAGGGCUGUGCGAAGUCGAAAGACGCUGUAUACAGCCUGACACCUGCCCGGUGCUGGAAGGUUAAGAGGAGAUGUCAUCGCAAGAGAAGCAUUGAAUUGAAGCCCCAGUAAACGGCGGCCGUAACUAUAACGGUCCUAAGGUAGCGAAAUUCCUUGUCGGGUAAGUUCCGACCUGCACGAAUGGUGUAAUGAUCUGGACACUGUCUCAACCGUGAGCUCAGUGAAAUUGUAGUAUCGGUGAAGAUGCCGAUUACCCGCGAUGGGACGAAAAGACCCCGUGAACCUUUACUAUAGCUUAUCAUUGAAUUUGGGCACGUGAUGUGUAGGAUAGGUCGGAGGCUUUGAAGCAGGCACGCCAGUGUUUGUGGAGCCGCUGUUGAAAUACGACCCUUCAUUUGUUUGAGUUCUAACUCGUGUUACGAGGACACUGAUUGGUGGGUAGUUUGACUGGGGUGGUCGCCUCCAAAAGUGUAACGGAGGCUUCUAAAGGUGCCCUCAGACCGAUUGGUAACCGGUCUCAGAGUGUAAUGGCAUAAGGGCGCUUGACUGGGAGACUAACAAGUCGAGCAGGUAGGAAACUAGAGCAUAGUGAUCCGGUGUUUCCGCAUGGAAGGGACAUCGCUCAAAGGAUAAAAGGUACUCCGGGGAUAACAGGCUGAUC
rnacentral:rRNA from 1 species